rnacentral:lncRNA from 1 species
GAUCACGCCACUGCACUCCAGCCUGGGCAACAGAGCGAGACUCCGUCUCAAAAAAAAAAAAAAGAGGACAAAUGUAACAUAUCCAGUGAUGAGCAUGUCGGUCUGGGACUGUGGGAGGCAGAGGGUGCAGUGAGCCAAGAUCGCAUCAUUGCAUUUCAGCCUGGGUGACAGAGUGAGACUCUAUCUUGAAAAAAUUUUAAAAAAAAAUUACUAAGACAAAUCAAAUUCCCUGACCUGCAGUCAAAUGUAUUUCUCCUUCAUCAUGAGCCCCUCAGAGAAACAAUUAACAAAUUUAUUUUUUCACUCAGCCCUUUUUUCUAAAUGCCAAUUGAGUAUCAAAAUGUUUUCUUGUCUACUCAGCCCACUGAAGUGACAAUAAAAUAAUGAAAGCAGCCUGUGACUCAGCAAGUUUAAUAACAUAGAAUGUUUAUAUCUUGGCAAAUAACACAGUCAGCAAAUUUAUGUGUGUCAUAUUUCUUUCUUUCUCUCUUUUUUGUAUUUUUAGUAGAGUCAGGGUUUCACCAUGUUGGCCAGGCUGGUCUCGAACUCCUGACCUCGUGAUCCACCCACCUCAGCCUCCCAAAGUGCUGGGAUUACAGGCGUGAGCCACCGCGCCCGGCCACAUGUCAUAUGUCAACCUCCACUUUUUAAAGCUUUUUGUCUACAGUAACCAUUUGAAGAACAGGAAAGAAAAAAGCAGUAUUUUCUAGAGUACAUUAUAGGCAGGGAGACAGCACUAGCUGUCUACCCUCCAGGAUUCCCAUCUUCAGCCUGUCCAAUGGAACCUGGAUUGUUCAGAUGCUGGGAGCAUUUGUGCUUCCUGGUUCCCUCUCUAAUCAUUGAGAUGCAUGUGCUGACUCAUCUAAGCAGCCACCAAGGCGUGGGCCUGGACCAGCGGAUCCACAUUGCCUGGGAACAGGUUAGAAAUGAUCUGCUUAGGCCCCCUCCAGGCCUGCUGGACCAGAAACCCUGGAGCCCAGGAACCUGUGUUUCAUCUAACUCUCUGGAUAACCCUGACGCAUGCUUGUGUCGAGAACCUUGGUCUAACCAGGGGUGUCCAAACUUUUAGCUUCCCUGGGAAACAUUAGAGGAAGAAUUGUCUUGGGCCACAUAUAAAAUACACUAACACUAAUGAUAGCUGAUGAGCUAAAAAAUAAGUAAAUAAAAAAUAAAUAAAUAAAUAAAUUUUAAUAAAAUUUAUUUAAAAAAUAAAUUUAAUAAAUGAAAUUUUAAUAAAUAAAUAAAUACAAAUUAAAAAAAUAAAAAUCUCAAAAAAAAUCUUACGAUGUUUGAAAGUUUAUGAAUUUGUGUUGUGGCACAUUCAAAGCCAUCCCGGGCCAUGGCCCACGGGCUGCUGCAGCUUGGACAAGCUUGAUCUAAACGAAUCACAGCAAUUCUGCUCCCUUUGCCAACUACUGGAUUAGGCUGGGUAACUGUGACCAAUGAGGGCUGAGAGGAAGUCUCCCAGGAGGCCUCCAGGAAUGCUUUACUCGUUCACAUACAGAAAAGAACAAGAGGAAACAACCUAUCCCUCCUGUUUCUGGUUGAGAUAUGGUCAUGUCUUCAUAUGACAGAUACUUGGAACUGUAGCAGCAAUCUUUUAACCAUUAGGUGAGAAACCCAAAGACCGAGCCACUAAGUCAAGGAUGGUGGAAGGAAAGGGCCUGAAAGAGCCCUGGCGACCUUGGUGAGCCACUGAGCAUUCCUAAAAAUACCCAAUCUCCAGGCUCCUCGUUAAAUAAUGUAUUUUUUAAAUCCCAUGUGUAAGCUAUUUUCGGCUUCUGUUAACUUGCAAUUCUGACUGUAACAUUUUUUUUUUGUCAAGUCAAGCCUCAAAAUAGUAUAAACAACAUAAUCUCAUUUUUAUGUUAUAUAAAUUUAUACAUAUUAUAUAUAACUGUAUUAUAUUAAAUGUUCUAUUAUAUAAUAUUUUAAUGGGAAGUAUUUUGGAAAGAAUGAAUCUAUAACUUUUUUUUUUUUUUGAGACAAAGUCUCGCUCUGUCGCCCAGGCUGAAGUGCAGUGGCGCGAUCUCAGCUCACUGCAAGCUCCGCCUCCCGGGUUCACGCCAUUCUCCUGCCUCAGCCUCCCGAGUAGCUAGGACUGCAGG